UACGUAGGGGGCAAGCGUUGUCCGGAUUUAUUGGGCGUAAAGAGCUUGUAGGCGGCCAGAUAGGUCCGUUGUGAAAACUCGAGGCUCAACCUCGAGACGUCGAUGGAAACCGUCUGGCUAGAGUCCGGAAGAGGAGUGUGGAAUUCCUGGUGUAGCGGUGAAAUGCGCAGAUAUCAGGAAGAACACCUAUGGCGAAGGCAGCACUCUGGGACGGUACUGACGCUGAGACGCGAAAGCGUGGGGAGCGAACAGG
rnacentral:rRNA from 1 species